rnacentral:rRNA from 1 species
GACGAACGCUGGAGGCGUGCUUAACACAUGCAAGUCGAACGAUGAAAUGGAGCUUGCUCCAUGGAUUAGUGGCGAACGGGUGAGUAACACGUGAAUAACCUGCCCUUAAUUUUGGAAUAACCCAGGGAAACCUGGGCUAAUACCGGAUAAGUAAACCUGUGGACUCACACGGUUUUGGAAAGUUUUUCGAUUAAGGAUGGAUUCGCGGCCUAUCAGCUUGUUGGUGAGGUAAUGGCUUACCAAGGCGACGACGGGUAGCCGGCCUGAGAGGGGGAACGGCCACACUGGGACUGAGACACGGCCCAGACUCCUACGGGAGGCAGCAGUGGGGAAUAUUGCGCAAUGGACGAAAGUCUGACGCAGCGACGCCUCGUGAGGGACGAAGGUCUUCGGAUUGUAAACCUCUUUCAGCAUGGACGAAGCGAAAGUGACGGUACCUGCAGAAGAAGCACCGGCUAACUAUGUGCCAGCCGCCGCCGUAA